rnacentral:rRNA from 1 species
GCGUCUGGGGGAAACCCUGAUGCAGCGACGCCGCGUGAGCGAUGAAGCCCUUCGGGGUGUAAAGCUCUUUCGGCAGGGAAGAUGAUGACGGUACCUGCAGAAGCAGCUGCGGCUAACUACGUGCCAGCAGCCGCGGUAAUACGUAGGCAGCAAGCGUUGUUCGGAGUUACUGGGCGUAAAGGGUGUGUAGGCGGUUGUUUAAGUUUGGUGUGAAAUCUCCCGGCUCAACUGGGAGGGUGCGCCGAAUACUGAAUGACUUGGAGUGCGGGAGAGGAGAGUGGAAUUCCUGGUGUAGCGGUGAAAUGCGUAGAUAUCAGGAGGAACACCGGUGGUGUAGACGGCUCUCUGGACCGUAACUGACGCUGAGACACGAAAGCGUGGGUAGCAAACAGGAUUAGAUACCCUGGUAGUCCACGCCCUAAACGAUGCAUAUUUGGUGUGGGCAGUUCAUUCUGUCCGUGCCGGAGCUAACGCGUUAAAUAUGCCGCCUGGGGAGUACAGUCGCAAGGCUGAAACUCAAAGGAAUUGACGGGGGCCCGCACAAGCGGUGGAGCAUGUGGUUCAAUUCGACGCAACGCGAAGAACCUUACCUGGGCUCGAACGGCUGGUCAACGGAGGUGGAAACAUCUUUACCCCGCAAGGGGGUCCAGUCGAGGUGCUGCAUGGCUGUCGUCAGCUCGUGUCGUGAGAUGUUGGGUUAAGUCCCGCAACGAGCGCAACCCUUGUCCUGUGUUGCUAUCAUUCAGUUGGGAACUCGCAGGAGACCGCCAGCGAUAAGUUGGAGGAAGGUGGGGAUGACGUCAAGUCCUCAUGGCCUUUAUGUCCAGGGCUACACACGUGCUACAAUGGCCGGUACAAAGCGUCCCUAACCCGCGAGGGGGCGGCAAUCGCAAAAAACCGGUCUCAGUUCGGAUUGCAGGCUGCAACUCGCCUGCAUGAAGCUGGAAUCGCUAGUAAUGGCAGAUCAGCACGCUGCCGUGAAUACGUUCCCGGGCCUUGUACACACCGCCCGUCACAUCACGAAAGUGGAUUGUACUAGAAGUCUGCAGGCUGACCC